AUUGAACGCUGGCGGCAGGCCUAACACAUGCAAGUCGAACGAGUGGCGGACGGGUGAGUGAUGUCUGGGAACCUGCCCGAUGGAGGGGGAUAACGACUGGAAACGGUAGCUAAUACCGCAUACCAUCGGAUGUGCCCAGAGUGGAGUAGCUAGUAGGUGGGGUAACGGCUCACCUAGGCGACGAUCCCUAGCUGGGCUGAGAGGAUGACCAGCCACACUGGAACUGAGACACGGUCCAGACUCCUACGGGAGGCAGCAGUGGGGAAUAUUGCGCAAUGGGCGAAAGCCUGAUGCAGCCAUGCCGCGUGUAUGAAGAAGGCUUUCGGGUUGUAAAGUACUUUCAGCGGGGAGGCGUUACUCGCAGAAGAAGCACCGGCUAACUACGUGCCAGCAGCCGCGGUAAUUC
rnacentral:rRNA from 1 species